CCUACGGGUGGCAGCAGUGGGGGAGAGUGCACAAUGGGGGAAACCCUGAUGCAGCGAAGCCGCGUGAGUGAAGAAGGAUUUCGGGAGGUAAAGCUCUAGCAGCAGGGAAGAAAAUGACAGUACCUGACCAAGAAGCCCCGGCUAACGACGUGCCAGCAGCCGCGGUAAUACGUAGGGGGCAAGCGUUAUCCGGAUUUACUGGGUGUAAAGGGAGCGUAGACGGGUAUGGAAGUCUGGAGUGAAAGCCCGGGGCCCCACCCCGGGACUGCUUGGGAAACUGUGGAACUGGAGUACAGGAGGGUCAGGCGGCCUUCCUGGUGUAGCGGUGACCUGCUUAGCUAUCAGGAGGAACCCCGGCGGCGCAGGCGGCCUGCUGGACUGCAACUGACGUUGCGGCUCGACAGCGUGGGGAGCACACAGGAUUAGAUCCCCUUGUAGUC
rnacentral:rRNA from 1 species